rnacentral:rRNA from 1 species
AUGAACGCUAGCUACAGGCUUAACACAUGCAAGUCGAGGGGCAUCAGGAAGAAAGCUUGCUUUCUUUGCUGGCGACCGGCGCACGGGUGAGUAACACGUAUCCAACCUGCCCUUUACUCGGGGAUAGCCUUUCGAAAGAAAGAUUAAUACCCGAUGGCAUAAUGAUUCCGCAUGGUUUCAUUAUUAAAGGAUUCCGGUAAAGGAUGGGGAUGCGUUCCAUUAGGUUGUUGGUGAGGUAACGGCUCACCAAGCCUUCGAUGGAUAGGGGUUCUGAGAGGAAGGUCCCCCACAUUGGAACUGAGACACGGUCCAAACUCCUACGGGAGGCAGCAGUGAGGAAUAUUGGUCAAUGGGCGCUAGCCUGAACCAGCCAAGUAGCGUGAAGGAUGAAGGCUCUAUGGGUCGUAAACUUCUUUUAUAUAAGAAUAAAGUGCAGUAUGUAUACUGUUUUGUAUGUAUUAUAUGAAUAAGGAUCGGCUAACUCCGUGCCAGCAGCCGCGGUAAUACGGAGGAUCCGAGCGUUAUCCGGAUUUAUUGGGUUUAAAGGGAGCGUAGGUGGACUGGUAAGUCAGUUAUGAAAGUUUGCGGCUCAACCGUAAAAUUGCAGUUGAUACUGUCAGUCUUGAGUACAGUAGAGGUGGGCGGAAUUCGUGGUGUAGCGGUGAAAUGCUUAGAUAUCACGAAGAACUCCGAUUGCGAAGGCAGCUCACUGGACUGCAACUGACACUGAUGCUCGAAAGUGUGGGUAUCAAACAGGAUUAGAUACCCUGGUAGUCCACACAGUAAACGAUGAAUACUCGCUGUUUGCGAUAUACAGUAAGCGGCCAAGCGAAAGCAUUAAGUAUUCCACCUGGGGAGUACGCCGGCAACGGUGAAACUCAAAGGAAUUGACGGGGGCCCGCACAAGCGGAGGAACAUGUGGUUUAAUUCGAUGAUACGCGAGGAACCUUACCCGGGCUUAAAUUGCAGUGGAAUGAUGUGGAAACAUGUCAGUGAGCAAUCACCGCUGUGAAGGUGCUGCAUGGUUGUCGUCAGCUCGUGCCGUGAGGUGUCGGCUUAAGUGCCAUAACGAGCGCAACCCUUAUCUUUAGUUACUAACAGGUCAUGCUGAGGACUCUAGAGAGACUGCCGUCGUAAGAUGUGAGGAAGGUGGGGAUGACGUCAAAUCAGCACGGCCCUUACGUCCGGGGCUACACACGUGUUACAAUGGGGGGUACAGAAGGCAGCUAGCGGGUGACCGUAUGCUAAUCCCAAAAUCCUCUCUCAGUUCGGAUCGAAGUCUGCAACCCGACUUCGUGAAGCUGGAUUCGCUAGUAAUCGCGCAUCAGCCACGGCGCGGUGAAUACGUUCCCGGGCCUUGUACACACCGCCCGUCAAGCCAUGGGAGCCGGGGGUACCUGAAGUACGUAACCGCAAGGAUCGUCCUAGGGUAAAACUGGUGACUGGGGCU